GACCUGGCUCUGCAGGGUCCUACGAGAGCUUUCCUCUAGCAAAGGAGACACAGGGGAGGCAAGAGCUGAGAGAAAUGGAAGAAAUGCAAAUGGCUACACUUGUGGCAAAGCAUAGAUGAUACCCUCCAUGCACCAGGUGCUGUGCUAAGAGCUCCAUCUGAUGUCACUGAGUCCUUGCAACCCUAUCAGGCUGAUAAUCUUACGAUUUGUUUCACAGAGGAGGAAACUUAGGCAUGGAGAGAUUAUACAGCUUGCCCCAGUCCUCCCAGGUGGUAGAGCAGGAACCUGAAGCCAGUGAGUUGGACUGGCUGGAAAGGUGCUGGGAAUGAGAGAGGUCAGAGUGGGGUUAGGACUUGGCUCUCCAUGGCGGAAGGUUCUGAGAUGCCCACGGUGGGAGAAUGUAGGCUCAGCCCUCAGAGGUGGAUCUUCUCUUACAACACAAGGACCCACACAGUAGUUCCCAGAGCUGCAGCAAACACCUGCCAGAAAGGACUUAACUGUGAUGGUUGGAGAAUUUGAUGGAAACUGAGAGGUGAGGGCCAGGCAGGGAUGUAAACUCAAGGUAAAGUUCCAGCAAUGGGUUAAGAGCAACCAAGAUGCUUCUGAAAGUCAACAAGGUGGGGGACUUGUUCUAGCAGAUUUUAAGCCUUCUUAUACAUUUAGUCUGCCUUCUGUAUCUGCAGGUUCUGAAUCCAUGGGUUCAACCAACCACAGAUAGAAAAUAUUCAGAAAAAAAUUCCACAAAUGUCCAAAAAGCAGAGCUUGAAUUCACCAGGCACCAACUCCUACAUUGAAGCCACGCACAUGAAGUGAUGUGUAAGUAUUGUGUUAGGCACCCUGAGUCAUCUAGAGAUGAUUUAAAGUAUAUGGGAGGGCCAGGCACAGUGGCUCACACCUGUAAUCCCAGCACUUUGGAAGGCCAAGAGGGGCGGAUCAUGAGGUCAGGAAUUUGAGACUAGUCUGACCAACAUGGUAAAACCCUGUCUCCACUAAAAAUACAUAAAAUAGCCAAGCGUGAUGGCACGCACCUGUAAUCCCAGCUACUCAGGAGGCUGAGGCAGGAGAAUCACUUGAACCUGGGAGGCGGAGGUUGCAGUGAGCCAAGAUUGCACCAUUGCACUCCAGCCUGGGCAACAAUAAGAGUGAGACUCCAUCUCAACAACAACAACAACAAAAAAGCAUAUGGGAGGAUAUGUGUAACUUAUAUGCAAAUACUACUUAUUCUAUAUCAGGGACUUGAGCAUCCAUAGAUUUUGGUAUUUGUGGGUAUUGGUCCUAGAACCAAUCUACAUGGAUAUUGAGGGAUUACUGUAGUGAUGAUGACAGUGUGGUGUUGGGAGAGAGAGAGAAGGAGAGAACAAACUAAAGACAGAGAUAGAGAGCCCAGUAACCAUCUGACAUAUACAAAGACAUGUUGUAUGUGACAGGAGGGAUGGCAGUUCACUCAUGUAAAAAUUAACUGUUGGCCAGGCGCAGUGACUCACGCCUGUAGUUCCAGCACUUUAGGAGGCCGAGGCGGGUGGAUCACGAGGUCAGGAGAUUGAGACCAUCCUGGCAAACACAGUGAAACCCCGCCUCUACUAAAAAUACAAAAAAAUCACUGGGUGUGGUGGCGGGCACCUGUAGUCCCAGCUACUCGGGAGGCUGAGGCAGGAGAAUGGUGUGAACCCAGGAGGCGGGGCUGGCAGUGAGCUGAGACCGUGCCACAGCACUCCAGCCUGGGCGACAGAGAAAGACUCCGUCUAAAAAAAAAAAAAAAAAA
ensembl:lncRNA